GGGAUGACGUCAGAGCAGCGGAGAAGAGACUGCGCAGCGGCCCGCACAGCUGUGAAUGAGUGACUUUGAGGUGACAGUCGGUAGCUUUCACACAACAAGGAAGUGGAGUAUAUGUCGCUCAGCUUAAGGCAGAUACUAACACAAACCGUCGACCUUUCCGUACGAGCUAUACCCUUUCUCCUCUCUUUUUUUAUUUUCUUUUCUUCUUCCCUCCUGCACUACUUAUUUCUCACAUCUCUCCCUCCCGUAAUGUUUUCAGAUUUCUGACUCUUCCAUCCAGCUCUUCCAUCCAGCUCCUCUUACUACAGAUUUCCCAGCAGCUUCCUCUGAAAUGGAGAUGAGCCGAGGCAGCUCCACCAUGUCAGCAUAUACCCCAUCAGUCUCUUCGAUGUGAGCUCACAUCAGCUGCCUGUCACAGUGAUUGUCAGUACUUUAGUCCAAAUAUGGCCCCUGUUCCUCCUGGGAUCCGCCUGUUGGUGUCCUUCAACAGGGACCAGUGGUACAGAGCUCUCACCUUUAUCCUCACCUUCCUGCUCUAUACCAGUUUCCAUCUCUCCAGAAAACCCAUUAGCAUCAUCAAGAGUGAGCUCCAUAAGAACUGCUCAUCUGUCAGUGAGCUACCCACCAUUGCCUCCAGCAGCAACAGCGACAGCCAGCAACCCUCCCUGCCAUCUCUCCACACACACAUGGACUGUAGCUGGAAGCCUUUUGAUAAAAGCAACUACAAACAGCUGCUGGGAGCCAUGGACUACUCCUUCCUCUGUGCUUAUGCUGUCGGAAUGUACCUCAGUGGCAUCAUAGGGGAACGUCUGCCCAUUCGACUGUACCUGACUGUGGGCAUGCUGACUAGUGGCCUGUUUACCUGCCUGUUUGGACUGGGUUAUGUCUACAACAUCCACAGCCUGGGUUUCUAUAUAUUUGUCCAGGUGGCCAACGGCUUGGUCCAAACCACUGGCUGGCCCAGUGUGGUGACCUGCAUCGGCAACUGGUUUGGAAAGGGGAGGCGUGGACUCAUCAUGGGGCUGUGGAACUCCCACACCUCAGUGGGCAACAUCUUGGGCUCUCUGAUUGCCGGCUACUGGGUCUCCUCCAACUGGGGCAUGUCCUUCAUCGUACCGGGGCUCAUCAUCGCAGCCAUGGGCGUCAUCUGCUUCUUCCUCCUCAUUGAGCAUCCAGAUGACCUAAAAAGCAUAUAUGCUCAAAAUUCUUCCCCAGGCAAGAGUGUUCCAACCAACAGUUGGAAUGGAGUAAAUGGACAUAAUGAAGUGUGUCUGCAAUACAAGGACGACAAAACCCAGAGCUACGACACAGAGCUGUUGUUACCCAGAGACAGUGUGUGUGUCCCUGUGCAACCGGUCGUGGUCAUGAAGAGCAAAUCAGAGCUGUCCGCUAUCAGUUUCAUGGGAGCCUUACAAAUACCAGGAGUGAUCGAGUUCUCUCUGUGCCUGCUGUUCGCCAAGCUGGUCAGUUACACCUUCCUCUUCUGGCUGCCACUCUACAUCACUAAAGCAGCUCACCUGGAUGCCAAAAAGGCUGGAGAUCUCUCCACUCUGUUUGAUGUGGGAGGAAUUGUGGGGGGGAUCAUGGCAGGAGUGAUCUCUGAUAAACUGGGCAAGAGAGCCACCACCUGUGCAGUCAUGUUGCUGCUGGCUGCUCCUACACUGUAUGGCUUCUCCAUGAUCAGUGAGUUCGGUCUGGGGCCGACUAUCGGCAUGUUGCUAGUGUGUGGAGGUCUUGUCAAUGGACCAUACGCACUCAUCACAACUGCAGUGUCUGCUGAUUUGGGUACCCAUAAGAGCCUGAAAGGCAACGCCAGAGCACUGUCAACUGUUACUGCCAUCAUCGAUGGGACUGGAUCUGUAGGUGCAGCACUGGGCCCCCUGCUGGCUGGUCUGUUGUCUGCAGGUGGCUGGGAUCAGGUCUUCUACAUGCUGAUGACUGCUGACUUCCUUGCUCUGUUGCUUUUGCUACAACUUGUGACAAAGGAGCUUGCCUCAACUAAAUCCCGUCCAAUCUCCACUGUAGAGCUGCCCUGGUGCCUUAAACAAAGUUGAGUCUGUAGACUGAGCUCCUAGGUAAGCCUGCCUUCCAAGGCAUCAGUGGCAUUGUCAGUGGCAUUGCCUCUGACAUGGGGAGAGGAGAAGAUGAAGUCCAGAGAUGAUCAACAAAGAACGCACAGUAGGUGUAGAGGCCUUGCUGGAUCUCCAUGAGUCAGCUGAGAACCCAGAGCCAGAGGACAUCACUGAGAUGUUACAGGAUCGACAAGAUGCAGGAUGCCAGACAGACUAAACCAUUUGAUGAUAUUCAGAGGAUGGAGGAAAUUCUGAAGCAAACCGCAAUGGAGCUGGGUGAUCUUCGAACUAAAGCACUGGACACACAGUUUAGCCAAGAGUCUUUUCAGAGGAAUGGAGACAAGACAAAGGUUUACACUGGGCUGCCCAACUUCUUAGUUUUAAUGCAGGGUUUUCAACUGUGUAAACCUUUUAUCUCUGUGGCCAUUUAUCUGUGCUUUCUAAAUUUGAACAAGUAGUUUUCCUCUGAAAGAUUUGGCUUUCAGCUUCAACAUCUCUUACUCCACUGUUUCUAGAGUUUGGCAUACUUCAUGAGAGAUUUGAGUUUCUAAUUGAGUGGACAGAGUGGGAUGUACUUAAAGCUACAGUGCAAGUAGCAUUCAGCAAGCAUUUAGAAGCAGAGUUGCUGUGAUCGUAGACUGCUCUGAAGUAUUUAUUGAAAGGCCUUCUAGUUUGCUUGCUAGAGCACAAAUGUGGUUAAACUAUAAGCAUCACCACACUAUGAAGUUUUUGAUGGAUGUUGCUCCCCAAGGGUAUGUCUCUAUCUCCUCCCUGGGGAGGAAGAGUUACUGAUAAGCAGAUUACUUAAGAGAGUGACCUCCUCAAAAAAAUCUGUUACCUGGAGAUAUAUAAAUAAAAUAAAUAAAUAAAAUAAACGUAUUAUUAUUAUUAGCUAUUAUUAAUAUGACCUUUUCUGUUCAAAGAACAUGCAAAGCUGAGUGGUUGAGAUGGUAUAAAAGACAAUCAACCGACAAUUGUUAUGAAAUGUAAAAACCUUGGAUCAUUAGCUGCUGUUAAUAUGAUAUAAAACUAUUACAUAUAAAAAUGUUGGUAUAUGACCAGAAUAAUAGCAACAUGACAAUAGAUUGUGUUUUUAGUGAAUUUAGCGAAUAUAUAGCCUAUUCAUUUCAAUAAAAAGGUAUUGCAGAGUAUGGCAGAGUGUUGCACUUUUUUUCAUGUGUUUGUGCAAAUUUGGAAUUGUGAAUGGCUAGAUCAACUGUCCUUUGUCCAAUCUAACUGGUUACAGCUAAUUUGGGGUUUGUUUCCACAUGGUAGACUUUGUACACUGUUUUAGUGUAAAUAAGAAACCACAAAUACCUUUGUUGUAUUAUUUAA